rnacentral:sRNA from 1 species
AUUUGCUUAAUGCUCUAACCGUGGCAAGCUUGGCUGGAAGGCAGGCUACACAUAGCAGGGAAGAGGGUAGACUCCAUGAGGAGAUGGGGCAGGAUCCAGGGUGUGGUAGCCGACUUAGAGCACACUUCCCUUGAAAAUAUGGGACAAAUAUUUAAUAACGAACAUUGGUCGGAGCCACAAGUGAGUAAAGAGCUAGAUGUUUCCAGGCGGUCGCGGGUCUCAGCGUUUGGGUAAUGGCAGCCCUCUGCUUCCAGAGCGUCUGUCCAAUUCGCAGCACAACUUCACAGGGCAGAGGGAUCAAAGUCCGAGAGUUGACAAGCCAGUAAAACUUAAGAAAGGCACCCGCGUCUCAGCCAACUGGGCUGGGAUCCACCACUAGGAUUUAGUUCUUGCAAGAGAGUCAGACUCCAACUCCGGGACAGAAGCAGAGAUGCUCUCUAUAAAGCCGUGGAGGGGAAAAACAGGCUCAGCCCUUGGAAACAUGAGCCUGGCUUCAACUCGACUCUUGGUCGCCGCCGUAUACCUGACUUGGUGAAGAAGAAAGGAAAGCAAACAUCUCCCAGCAGAAUGAUCGAGCGCAAAGCGUUCAAAACUUGCAAUUCUGACAGACAGUCCUCGAGGGAAGGUGGGGUUCAUGGUUUUUGAGGGGUUUUUGCCCAUCGUGAUAUGGGAAGGACAGAAGAGAAGUUCAGGUCAGGGUGGUCAAAGCUGCUGAUACUGCCACAGACCAGUGUGCAGAGUGGUCAGGACCCUGAGCUGGGGGAAUGGUCAAAGGCACACUCCUAGAGACCAACUUGUGCUCGCUGAUCCCUGCCUCUUGAAAGUUCCACAGCCUCUCAGAAUAGUGCCCCCUGCUGGGAAGGAAGAAUUCAAGACGUGAACCUGGCGGGUGGGGCUUGGGGGGUGGAUUUCAGAUUGAAACUAGAACAGAAGGCCCAGAAAAGGGAGGUCGGUGAGAGUCUGUAUUCUUAAUUCAGGACGGCUUACAAAUAUGACUAGUUAAUUUAUAAGAUGUAAACUAAUACUUAAAAAAAAAAGAAUUUAGCAAACCAGACAGGGAAUUUCAGGACGGCAGUGACCUUUGUGCUUGCUGAGGCAUCGUAGGCGACAGUCUGCUGGAGUCCGGGAAGCCAUCUGCAGCUAGAGGGACCCUGCAGCUAGGGGGACAAUGAGCUGUCUGUCUCCUCCUCUACCUCCAGCUCUCCCUUGAGGGUUUGCGUUGGCAGAAUCUAAGCAGGAAUUUCUGGGAAAUUUAGUUUCCAGAUGUUACAGCCCCUGUGAGUCAGGACACAGAAGGGGAAAGAGCUACCAUGGCCACGGGGCCCAAGUGAAAGACAUCAAUUAUUUUAGGGUGAUGUCAGAGAAAGUGGGUCGCAGUGGAAAUGGAGCUCGGCGAGGCCGAGUCUGGGUGGAAGGACUGUGGGGAAGCAACACCCCUGCAGACAGGAACUGUGAGACACGCUAGGCAGAGUGACAAGGAGGUUGAAAUGCCACAACCUUCGAGAGUGACAGAUGCUCUUUGUUUUAAAGAGCUCAGUAGCGUGUAUAUAGAAAAUAAAGGCACCGUGGAUGGGACAAGGGGACUGUAAGAACCUGUCCCCCACUCUUGCUGAUAGUUUGAAAGCAUUCUGUGAAAUAAAUAUUCUUCUUCCAGACUAGGCAAAAAUGAAAACGGUUAGCAUUUGGACCUCGGUGUUGGAACUGGAGGUUAGAAGGUAGAAAUGUGGGAGGGAGUUAGACCAGAAGUUGACGGAACUUGGCAAGGUGAGUAGCAGGAGGAAGGCAGGAGCAACCAGGACUCCACAGUCUGUGGGGUGCGUAGCAUUGUGAACGGGCACCAUGAAUUGAGACAUGGCCAUAAAAAAAGUCGGAGCAGUUCCCUUUGGGAUGUGUUCUGUGUUAGGAUGUGAAACUACAGACAUCAAUAAUCAAGACAGAGGUGGUGGUGUGUCGUGUCCCCCCCACCCGCUUCCUGCUGAACAUACAUGACACCUUUGCAUACAAAGGGAAGUAUAACUCUCUACGUGUGAGUUUGGCCACAGUCACAGAAAAGAACUGAUUGAUAUCUAUCAAAGAUAUUUCCCCAUCUUAUUCCCCGAUGGAGCUUGAUGCUUGAAAUCCAACACGUGGUACUUCAAACUCCUGGCUUUAAGUUAAGGCACCUUAAAGGUUUGUGCUGCCCAUCUACCUGUGGUGUGGCGUGCUGAGACUUGCUUUGUCACACGUACCCUGAAAACAAUCAGUGCAUAUACACACACUAGUGCUGCUAUAUGGCCAGAGCUCGCAGCAUGGCCUAUUACAUGAUUUUUCCAGAAAGAUGAUAACAGGCAUCACACCAGACAGGGCAUCAGUGUCAGGUCACAGAAAUUACUCUACUAAAUUCCAGCUUGAGGAACCAAGGAAUCUUUUGGGGUUAUAUACAGCAACGUAGCAAGGGGCUCCUUGAAAGAACCUGAGUGGCUUAAAAGCAGCUGUACCCCCCAAAAUGACCCACCAGAGCUUCGUCCCCGGGACUCCCCACCUAUCUCAAAGGUAACCCCUUAGAGAGUCUCGUCUUGAGCAACAAUUAAUUAUUGCUUAUAUAACCCAGAGUGGGGCCUGUCCUGUUAACUUCUGCUGUCAACCUGACAGCCCAGAGUCAUCUCAGAGAGGCUCCAUUGGGGAAUCAGAUCGAUCAAAUUGUCCUGUGGCCAUGUCUAUGAGGAAGUCUUUUAGUUGUGGAUUAUUGUCAGAGGGCACAGUCCCCUGUGGGUGGUGCCAUUCCUUAGCAGAUGGUUCUGGGCUAUCUAACAAAGCUGGCUGAGCAUGAGGGAGAGAGAGAGAGUAAACCAGCAUGCAGUGUUCCUCCAUGCAACUCUGCUCCAGAUUCCUGCCUCUCGAGAGGUCCUGCACCGGCUUCCCUCCGAGAUGAACUUCUACCUGGGAGUGUCUAUUGGAACAAACACUUCCCUCCCCAAGUUGUUUUUGGUCAUGGUGUUUAACAGAAUGACAUAAAGGAAGCUAGAGGAAGGCAUAUUCCUACUAAGUCUUGUAAGCUUCCUGGGCCUGCUAAAUUUUAUGGGUUUGUGAGUUUUGCUAGCUCCUUGUGUCUUAUGAGCUCCUGUCCUCUCUUAACUCUCCAGGAGGACAUGUUUCAGUUCGGGGGCAAUAGCUACACAGUAGUGCCCAUGAUGAGCCAGAGCUAGAAGAAUCACUGGCCCCUACAUAAAGCCCUGAUUGUCAGAGAGACAGGAGGUCUUCAUGAGUCUGGGGAAACUUGCUGUGACUUACUUUGUCCUCUGUCUUCAUAGGCUCCCUGCCUGCUCUAUCUAUUUUUUCUUCUAUUUCUUUAACAACUUGAUUGUUGAAACCCCAGGAAAUUCUAAGCCCAUUUCUCCCAUCAAAAUGAAAGGAACUUAUUGAUGAAAUCAUGAGUCCAUUAAGAUUGAGUGGUACAUCUCCAUUAGGGCCACGAUUUGCAUCAUAAAACAGAUUAACAUGAAAGGUGGAAGCACUCUUCUUGGAGAGGAAAUGCACAAAAGAAUCUUUUAGGGCCUUCCGAAUUAAAGCAGAAUAAACACUCCACCAGGCACAGAGAGAAGGCAAGGGACAGGGGGGAAGGUUUCGACAGAGCCAAGCAAGACUGAAGACCUGCAGCCACAUAAGUGGUGUGACUCAUAGCUUAGUUGUGGGUAGACAGCAGAAGCCAGGGAACAUUCGGAGCUGAAAGAAACACUCGUAUUAAACAUUCUGCUGGAGCAAGGGUUCCCACUGCAGUGUGCUUACAGAGCCCUGCUCUGAAGUAUGCCUGGGCCGGCCGUUCUCGCUACUUUAAUGGAGUUGCUGAGAACCACCCUCUUGCCCGGCUAAGAGCCUGUGGUUCUGAGUGGAUGAGAGUGCUGUUCUCCUCAACCUUCCUCAGAAUGUUGAGAGGACAGUUCUGUGACAAGAGCUUUGCCAUGUGGCCUCCCCAGGAAUCUAGAUUGUUCCGGAUGAUCAAAGGAUAAUGAAAUAAACCCUACAUUAAUAGAGCACAGGGUUCUGGGAGUGUGUUGGGGGGCGGGGAUGACGUCUUCUCUUGCCUAUCAAGCUGGUGCUGUUUGUGUGUGUAUCACUUGCUUAGCAGCAUCAAGACCUUUAGCUAAAAGGAGAGGCUGGCUUAAAGGAUUGGAGCACCCGGGGGAUUCGCUGUUUGAUGGAAACAGGUCAGAGAAAGGAGCAAGAGAAUGAUCGGCCGUCUUACUCUUCUGGUGGGGUCUCUUUGCUCAUGUGUGAGAGGCAGUUCAUGCCAGCUCACAGACAUCAAGCAGAAUUUCUUCCUAAUUCCCCCACUCAGUGACUUCAUAGGAGGUUGGCACUGGCUAGGAUAGGAAUGUUUACAUUGCCAGAAUUGGCAGAUGUCACAAACCAGGGUGUUUUUUUCUCCCCUACUGUGGUUGCCUUGUUUUCUCCCCUAGAAAAUUUAUCGUUAAAUAUUUAUCAGCAUUCUCCUGGAAUUUGAUUGAAAGAUAAUUUGGCCAUCAAAGCAGCCACACGGCCUUCUGAAACUCUGGCUGAAAGCUUUCUGAGCACAGCAAGGGUCAAACAAGUGACCGGGCGGAGCUCGGCGGAAUUUGGAAAAAGGGAAAGGAUUCUUGGAAUACACGCCUGUGUGACAUACUCACCCAUGAACACUCACCUGAGGGUCAGUGCUCACAGGGUGACAUGGUAGGCACCUCUCGAAAGUUGUAAAGGGACCUUUAGGAAUGUGGCCACGAGAUGGACACUACUUAGACAUGAUGUGGGCCUCUUUCUCAUUGGACCAGGGACUUCAGAUAAAGGAUAAGACCCAGGAGGCUGGGCCUCAGAAGGACCAAUUUACAGGGCAUUUUGAUAGUGAACCAAUUAACCUCUUCUACCUAUAGGGCUCAGACAAAAGAUAGUUGGGCUCAGGAUGCAUUCUGGGAGCACUGCCGCGUGUGGGUGGUAAUGAUGUGUCAGAAGUUCUUUUUCAGAUGGGCUAAGUAGACUCCAGUCCUAUAUGGAAUGUCCGAGGCUGUGUCAGAGAAACACAAAGGUCUCUUCUGCCUCCCUUCCUGGGUUCUAGGAUUCUUCUGAAAAGAACCCUAAUGCUAACUAGAAGGUAGAAGAGUGGAAGCCCAGACACAGAUUAAGGAGUACACAUAGGUUCGGCCACAAUGGAGAUCAGGGAGGGAGGAUCUUCAACAAACUAAGAAAGAACCAGUGUAUGGCCCACUACAGCGUGUCCAGGUUAUUUACCUGAGGGACCGUAAGCCAACCUAUCACCCUGUGAACACUGCUGUGAGUUCACAAUUAUGGCUGAGUUAUGUACGGAAGCAAGAGAAGCGUCCGUCAACAAAUGACAGGGUUAAAUGGAGUGUGUGUGUAUAACGAAACUUUAGUCAGCUCUAAGGAAGAGCAGAAUCAUGCUGUUUGUUGAAGAACGGGUGUGACAGAAACUAACUAUAUGAAAUAAGUCAGCAAGAUAAGUGUCACACAUUUUUAGUCCUUUUGCACAUCCUUGGGUACACACACACACACAACACACCCUCACACACACUAAGGAAAAAAAAACUGGCUUCGAAGGACAAAAGGAGGCUACGAAAGGAAACAUAUUUGUUCGACUUUGAGGAAGAAGCCGAUUUGUCUGAAGGAGUCUGGGGACAGCCCUGCCUUUGUCUGAUAAGCCCUCUCUGCAAGUCCCUGUAAGCCAUAUGUGUUUAAGAUGUAGAGGAUCAGCUCAGGGGAUCAGCGCACAGCCCUGGAAGCGUUAGCAUGCGCUUCCUACUUUAAGCAGCUGUCUGGCAAAAUGGUCUGUCACUGUCAUAGGGCAGCCGAGCAUGAGAGUGCUUUGACAGUGCGAGUCUGUCUCAAUCCUUCCACCCAAACUCAAAGGAACGUCUUCCCAAAGGCCGAGGGCAGCCAUUCUUUGCAGCGGGAGUAAGCUCGGCUGAUGGCUUAAUCUGGAAGCCAAUUGGCUUUCAAGGAGACAUAACUCACUCCAUAUUUAGAGAAACGUUUGGAGUCUAUUGGGACUGCUUCGGGAGGGGAUUUGAAAACUUUGAAAAGGAACCUGAUAUGAACACUGACCGACUGGAAGACCUUCUGUCUUUCACAAGUGGGCACGUACCUGGCAGCCCUUGCUGGCUUGGCUUCAACUCCUAGAUCCCGGAUCAUGGAAGCCCUGGAGGGUCUGGCAGUUGGUUCCGGAGUCAACAAGAAGCAGGCAGCCACCACCAACCUAGAAGUAUUAUCAUGGUUUAACAGCAAUCCAAGCAAUGUCUCUGCUCCUGAAAUGGAACCUGGGCCUUGUUGGACGACGUGGGACAAAGGAGAGAGGCAGGUCCACUGUGGGGUCUGUCUGUGUUUAUAUGGUUGGCAGAGCGCGCUUUGAUGUCACCCUGAUGACGUCUGUCAUCUUCCCCACACCUGCUAUGGCAUGGCUGCCUUCAGUCACAAGCCUGAUUCACAGCACACUCUAUGUUUAGCAGCGCUCUGAGAAGGAUUCCAGUCUGCCUUCAGCCCUAAAUAGCUACAAAUAUCAGAGUAGCAGCGGCAGCCCUUCAAAGGCCUUUUUGGGAAGUGUCAUGCCAGAGAUGGGGUGACACAGAGGAGCCCCAGAAAGAAGCAAGAUGUCACCUGGAAACUGGAGGGAAAAAGAAGAAAUGAACCAGCGUCGACUGCUAAGAAGGUGAAGAAAUGAACCAGCGUCGACUGCUAAGAAGGUGAAGAAAUGAACCAGCGUCGACUGCUAAGAAGACGAUGUUCUGCGCUUUUCAACCAAGUAAGAAUAGAUCUCUGGAGAUGAGAAGAUGACCACCACGUGUCUUUUCCCAGUCUUUGGAUGGUACCUUUCACAUCCUGGAAGGGAGAAAGCUGAGUCACCACCACAGAGUCUGAACCUGAUUAUCAUAUUCAGUAGCCACUGCCAAGCAUACAUUAGCACCUCUCCCAGAACUACUCUCUGUCUGCACAGGGCACCUGGACACUCUGCUCAUGAGAAUGCAAUACCCAACAUGAGUCAAGAAAGCCCAAAGACGUCCACCCUGAUCUGGUGAUAGAUGACACCUGACCUCCUUAGCCAAUAUGCAGACUGAGACUGUAUCUGGCAGAGUUUCUGGCUGCAGAACCCUUGACCGUCAGAAGUGAAUGAAAGUUUGGUAAGCUGUGCUGGAGCACUGCCAGUGUGCGGUGCUGUGAGCCGCCCUCACAGGAUUUCAGGGAAGAACUGUGGGGAGGAGGCACUGAAUGCCUUAGAUGCAGCGGGGAGAAAACCCUUCCUCCUACACCCUUAAAACAGAGCGAAAGGAAACAAAAUAAUAAAACUAAUAACAAAAUAACAAAAUAAUACCCCCCCACAAGCUACACCCUUACUUUUCUGGUCUCACCUGCUGCUUUCCUUAGGAGAUAGUUUCAAUGGAAAAGAUUCUAAAGUUCAUGUGUUCGAAAGCUUCUUGACCUUGCAGUUGGCGAUGAUCUUUGGGGGGUUAUGGAACUGUGGCUGGGGUCACUGGGAGCCAGGUCUUUGGGGUCACAGCUCUGCCCUAUUUUUGGACCCAGUCUCUCUGUGUGUCAUCUGUCAAGAAGUGAGCAAGCUCUCCUACACUCCUUCUGCUCUGGUUCACCUCCACCAAUACCCGUACUCUCAACCCAGGGGUGAAAAUUCCUUUCUCCUUCAGUGUGCUUCUUCCUGGGCAUUUGGUAGCAGCAAUUUCAAAAGCUAAGCUACCUUACUAGUAUGAGCUUCAGUGGUUUACACCAGGUAGGUCGAGGGAAAGGUAAAACUUGGGAUUUGCUCAAAACAUGGCCACACACACACACACACCUGAUGCUCGACACACACAGCCAGGCACACCUGAUGCCAGAAAGGGUGAGGUGGGGAUGUCAGAAAGUCCUGGGAGGAACCCAGGCUGUGUUCUAGGCACAUAUCUAUAGCUCAUAGUUUGUGUGUUCUUGGAAGACACAGAAGUAUUAUAAACUCGUAAAUAGAAUUGCAUAAGACUGUACUCAUGACAUAAAUGAUUCCUCACACGAGCGAACCAAGAAAGCCCAAAGAUGUCUACCCUGAACUGCAGAUAAAACAUCAUCAGACCUCCUUAGUUAGACGCCGCUGACACACAUUCGGAGAUCUUAUCCGGCAGAGUUUCCAGGCGUACGGAAGGUGGAUUGAGUUCAGGAUGAAUGAACUAUUGAACAGUGGAGCUCAGGGAGUGGGCGAUGGAUUAGUGGACAAAAAUAGCCCUGGACACCUGUGUAAAUCCUUGGUGAUCUGAUCUACGCCAUAAAAACCAGACAGUGGGCAUCUGUAACUCAUAAUAAGUCCUUUCUAACAUCACUGAGGUUAUCUUAAAGAGCCUCUUGGUGCUCCCCUCCCCCAUAGCUUUAGAGUGGGGCCAGGCUGCUAACUGCGCCAACGCUGCAUUUGGAGGGCUGUGACUUGCAGCCUGACCUCCUGGAACUGAGUGGAGCAGCAAUCAACAAUGACUUUGUAAGCUGAUCCCUGCUACAGACCGUACAAAAUCCUCAACGGGGAGAGCUGCUUACCUACAGAGGUCACAGGAGCUCUGUGCUCACCACCCCUAAUGCCCGUGUUCCUUGAAGUUGGCUGUUCCUGAGUUGUAUCUUUUGAAGUGAACUGACAUUGAUUCCUUUGGAAACUUGGAUGGCAUCGUUUAAUCUGUGGAGUGGGAAAAAGGAGACGAAGGAAGGAAGAGGAGAGGAGACCAUAAACCUCGCUGAGAGCUCACUGGAUCCGGGAAGUUGCUAAUAAAAACCCAGGCGGGGAUGGCACCUGCAGACAACUCACUCUACCUAGCCGUCAGAGCUGGCCUGGAAGAACAAAGGCUUUCUGGGGAGCUGCAAAUCACACAUUGAUCUUGCCCGAGAGUAUCUUUCCUUAGCGAUGAGAAGCUGGAAUAAAACGAAGUGGAAUGAAAAGCGGCAAGCAGAGGCCCUGAAGACUCCCACAGAAAUCCUGGUUCUGCAGAUUUACCUGUGCCGUGGGACCCACCUGUGUGGGACGAGGCACUUCUUGUUGAGCGUUCUGCUGCUCCAGAGUGCUUCAGCAUUACGUGUGGAAAGCAGAGACUUGAGGAAAAAUCAGUCAAACGAGAGCAUUGCAUAACUCGGACCACUGGAAAAUCCAUUCCCCCUUUAGGCAUCCCAAUGAGGGCAGUAACAACUAAGCAUGUUCCGGCUGUCGUGCUUACUCUAAUGCUGGCACUGGGGAGGAGAGGAGGCAAGUGCAUCCUAGGAGUUUGCUAGCAAGUGAGCCAGCUUCACCCCCUCACGCCACUCCCGGUUGCUAGAAUAGGAGGGCCUCUCCCAGAAUACUCCACACAACAGAUGGUUGAUCUACACCAGGAAACACCCAAAGAAGAAGACCAAGGCCACCACAGGCGGCAACUUGCCUACUCACCAGGGUCCAAGGAAGACCUCCAUCCCAUGGUGGGUAGAGUCCACAUGUGGGUCUCUGGGCUCUCUUCUCUGGUCUUCCUGUCCUCGUUGCUUUACUAAGGGAGACCUGUGAGCAACAGUGUUUUAACGCACGUUAUAGACGACACCGGAGUGUGGCUCUCACCAAAGCGUGUGCCUGACGUGAAGUGUGCCAGACUCCACGAGAAGUGUGUCUGGGCCAACUGACAGCAGUGGCUCUGGCUUUGACACGGCUCUCAGCACUCCCAUUCUGUUCCGAGAGGCCAGGAAGCAGAUGGAGAGAGAAUAAGCAAUGCAGUGGGAUGUCUACAUCUUGGCAGUCAGUUCACGGCGAGCUAUGUUUCUCAAGCUAUUAAGAUACAUGAUGCUACCUGUACAUUUAAUCUCUAAUCAAGUAUGUAAUUUUUUUAUUGCCUAGGGUAUGUCUAUGCAGUUGAAAGCAAAAACCUGUGUUCUAUCUUUAAAGAAAAAAUAAAACAACAACAAUAACAACCACAACACCCCUGUAAAAUCAAGAGAGAGGGAGCAAGAAGUUGGGUGGGUGGUGAGGUGGGGGAGAAUCGGGGAACAAUGGAGGAGGAAAACAAUAUAAUCAAAACAUACUGUAUGGAAAUUAAAUGUCCACCCUGCUCCUUGUGAAGUUUGCUUCCUUCACAGUGAUGUGAAGGGAACAGUGAUAUGCUUCCCCAAGGGGCACGAAGGAGAGGUGCUCUGAGAAAGUGACAUAAACAGGGAAGAUUUUUCUUCUUUGUAGAGAAGGGCGUUAGAGUACAGCAUUGUGAGAUUGCUCAGUGUGUGCACAGAGUACAGCAUUGUGAGGUUACUCAGUGUGUGCACAGAGUACUGCAUCAUCAGAUUACUCAGUGUGUGCACAGAGUACUGCAUUGUGAGAUUACUCAGUGUGUGCACAGAGUACUGCAUUGUGAGAUUACUCAGUGUGUGCACAGAGUACAGCAUUGUGAGAUUACUCAGUGUGUGCACAGAGUACAGCAUUGUGAGAUUACUCAGUGUGAGCACAGAGUACUGCAUUGUGAGAUUACUCAGUGUGAGCACAGAGUACUGCAUCAUCAGAUUACUCAGUGUGAGCACAGAGUACUGCAUCAUCAGAUUACUCAGUGUGUGCACAGAGUACUGCAUUGUGAGAUUACUCAGUGUGUGCACAGAGUACUGCAUUGUGAGAUUACUCAGUGUGUGCACAGAGUACUGCAUCAUCAGAUUACUCAGUGUGUGCACAGAGUACUGCAUCAUCAGAUUACUCAGUGUGAGCACAGAGUACUGCACUGUGAGAUUACUCAGUGUGUGCACAGAGUACUGCAUUGUGAGAUUACUCAGUGUGAGCACAGAGUACUGCAUUGUGAGAUUACUCAGUGUGUGCACAGAGUACAGCAUUGUGAGAUUGCUCAGUGUGUGCACAGAGUACUGCACUGUCAGAUUGUUCAGUGUGUGUCAAACCAGCUUUAGCAGCACUGAGAGAGAACUGACUUCAUUAACACUGGAGAUCUUGGAGACAGAUCAAGUACUCCUAUGCAGGGCAACACAAGGCACUGCAUUGAAGGAAGUCUUCCAAGAGCAGAGAAAUUCUCUCCUGGACACUACUUCCACAGAAUUUUCAGAUAGUUCCAUUUAACUUCCAAGUUCGUUGAUCAACUGUCAUGGGGAGAAGGGAUAGACGUCACGGAGCAUUGUGUCAUUAACAUUCGUUGCUGAAGAAGACUGGGAAGCAAUUCUAAAUUUGCAGCAGCCACGAGGUCCAUGGGCAGAGGUGGACAGAAGUGAGGACUGUCCAAAUGGUGGACUGCUUUGAGCAAGUGAAUGAGUCGUUGCAACUCCACAACUGGGUACGAUAAAAACGCUUCCAUAAACAAUGUAAAAUCAACUGGGUAAGGCGUAAUCCCAUUUAUUUACAGUUCAAAAAUAAACAAAGCGAGUCGCUGACAUCUGAAGUGAGAAGAGAUACCCGCCAUGGGCGAGCUUAGUGAAGAUUCAGCUUCAGGCGUUAGGGAUGGUUUCGUCCCUGAUGGGUUGUUGGUUACGAGCACAUGUUUGUUCUCCACGAGCAUACAUUUUAUUUCUGAGUCGUGUAUAUUUUUUUCUUCAUCCUGAAUCAGCAAAACAGUUACAAGCAAGCAAUGUCAACAUAGUUUCUUUUGCAUGUAUUAAAGUUUGGACCGUUCAGUCAAUCGUUUAAAGGACUAGGUAUGUGGGAGGAAGUGGCCCACAAAGGCUGAAGAGUUAAGUAUUUAAAGACUCAGAAUUACUUGAGAUAGUGAAAAAACGUUAGAGAGAAAAAUUUGAGCUUGGCUUCGUAGUCUAAAUUUCUUUGUCAGUAAAAACCUUCAUUUGUGGUAAAAUUUGGGCAGGGGAGUAAUGGUAUUUGAUAAGGGGUGGGGAAGAAUGUGAACUCAAAAUUAUAACCCAUUUUCUUUCUUUUUAACAUUUUCAGGUCAACACCAAACGUUUAGGUUCUGUGUGAUCAAAAUAGAAGGUCUUCACGUAUAUGGACCUGUCCUCCGCUAAGAUGUAAUUAUCAGUUGAUCAGGUUGAAAGACGGCUGAGUAGAUCCGGCACUAACAACAGAAUCAUCACACCAUGGAGAAACAAAUGUUCUAACAAUGUUCAUAACUCUACACGAUCCUUUCCUUUUUCACCACAAUCUAUGCUUCCCCAUCUGGCAGACAAGUAUGGAUCCCUUUCAACAUGGUAGGUAACAUUCCAGAUUGGAUAAUAAAAGUCUCUGUGGGAGAA